CGCAUCCAUUUCCUGCAGGAGGAGAAACAGAGCUCCCUGCAGAUUUGGAGUUCUUGCCAGAGCAGCCCAAAGGGGUUUCAUGGUUCCUCUGCUUCCAUUCACUGAAAAAGUGCCCAAAACCUCCCGUGCCCAGCACAGCAGCUCCCCUGACAGCAGUGGGCAGGGACAGGUGGAGCAUCAGCCCAAACUUUCUUGCACAAGGACAAACGAGGAGCAAAAAGGAACCUCCCUUCUUUCCCGUGGAGUGGAGUCUGCAAUCAUGCAGCCAAGGCAGAGGAACAAGCCCUUGUCAGUCUGUAUGCACAGCCUGGCUGGCAGAGCUCAUUUUCCUUAACAUGCCUAAUCCCACAAGUAUGUGGUGGCUUGCUCUGCAGAAACCUCAAGCUUUUCAGAAAAUGAGACCUGAAUUAUUCUUUGCUGUGGCAGACAUGCAGUCCUUGCUCCCCAGCAGAGUGACCUGUGGAUGCUGAGCUUCCACACAGAAGGUUUGGGAAG